rnacentral:rRNA from 1 species
AUUGAACGCUGGCGGCAGGCCUAACACAUGCAAGUCGAGCGAGCGGCGGACGGGUGAGUAAUGUAUGGGGACUGCCCGAUAGAGGGGGAUAACUACUGGAAACGGUGGCUAAUACCGCAUACUAUCGGAUAACCCAUAUGGGAUUAGCUAUGAGGGGGGGUAAAGGCUCACCUAGGCGACGAUCUCUAGCUGGUCUGAGAGGGUGAUCAGCAACACUCGGACUGAGACACGGCACAGGAUCCUACGGAGGAAGAAGUGGGGAAAAUUGCACAAUGGGCGAAAGCCUGAUUGAGCCAUGCCGCGUGUAUGAAGAAGGCCUUAGGGUUGUAAAGUACUUUCAGCGGGGAGGCGUUACCCGAAGAAGAAGCACCGGCUGACUCCGUGCCAGCAGCCGCGGUAAUAC